AUGUGUAACAGCAUGAAUGAGGUAAGUGGUGGUGAGUGACACCCGUGAUGACCAAUCAGCAGUGAGUAUUGGCUAUAUUAGAGCUGGUUGGCUUUAGCUUGGUAUGCGUCACGUCCGGACCCUCCCCUUUUCGCUGUGUUGAUGGUGGCUUACGGUAUGUGUUGUUGUUGUUACGUAGCAUGCUGCUAACUCUUCACUGUACAUAUAACACUAACGAUUUGCGCGCUAUAUUGCAGCUUGGCUUUCCAUCCGUGCAGUGGUUUUGUUGCUACAAUCUAGCCCUCCUGUUCUUCUUGAUGUAGUUUUACGGUUGCUUUAGCGAGGAGCUGUUGACUGCCCUUUCCGCGUAACCGUGGGUGAUCUGAAUGCUGUGCAUGCUUGGCCGUGGCUUGAUACUGAAGCCUACCUAAAACUUUUUAUCUAUCCGCUUGUGGAUUCUCCCUUUCACUUUGGCUGAUUAUACAUUUCAGCUUUAGUUUCAUUUUCUACCGCCGCUGUGUGCUGCAUAAACUUUGCUAAAUUGCACAGUAUCAUGCUGGGAACUGUUGCUGCUGUCUGGUUUCUGUGAAGUGUUCAGUUAUAUGGAAACGUCCUGCUGAGUGGAGAAUCGCGUAGCAUACUCGAGCUAAGCGUCUGUGUUUGUCGGUCUCAAUUGUAGCCUUACUGCUGCUGCUUAACUUUUGUUUUCUUUUCUUUUUUUCUGAAUAAUUGUAUGUGGAUUUUUGCAUUCGUUAUUAGUUAGUUUAAAUUGUAUUUCUUUAUUUUGUUCUUGUUUAAAUAUUUGUGUAAUGGAGUGUGUUGUGACUUUUGUGAUUUAUUUUGUGUAUGUCUGACCAAUAUUAUUUUUGAUAUUUAUUUUGUGUUUAAUUUUC